UUGGAGGGCAAGUCUGGUGCCAGCAGCCGCGGUAAUUCCAGCUCCAAUAGCGUAUAUUAAAGUUGUUGCAGUUAAAAAGCUCGUAGUUGAAUUUCGGGAUUGACGUGAUGGUCAUGCCUUAAGGGGUAUGAACUGUCACAGUUGAUUUCUCACCUUCUGGAGAAACUUGAUGUCCUUUAUUGGGUGUCUUGCGGAUCCAGGACCUUUACCUUGAAAAAAUUAGAGUGUUUAAAGCAGGCAUUUUUGCUCGAAUACAUUAGCAUGGAAUAAUAGAAUAGGACGGCAUGGUUCUAUUUUGUUGGUUUCUAGGAUCACCGUAAUGAUUAAUAGGGAUAGUUGGGGGCAUUAGUAUUCAAUUGUCAGAGGUGAAAUUCUUGGAUUUAUUGAAGACUAACUACUGCGAAAGCAUUUGCCAAGGAUGUUUUCAUUAAUCAAGAACGAAAGUUAGGGGAUCGAAGACGAUCAGAUACCGUCGUAGUCUUAACCAUAAACUAUGCCGACUAGGAAUCAGACGAUGUUAACUUUUUAAUGACUCGUUUGGCACCUUGCGGGAAACCAAAGUGUUUGGGUUC
rnacentral:rRNA from 1 species